CGUGCCUCAUCAUCUGCGCGCGCAAAUCCAACAGGAAAGUCUCACCGGCGGGAACCCAGAGAAAGAACCUCAACGGCCAUGGCGGCGACCGCUCGCUUUCUCUGUCCUCCCACAGCACGCGCUCCCCCCAAAUUCAACUGCUCCUCAACGCUCGCCACCCAACCCGAGUCCGCCAAGAAACGCCUCCUCUCCCUCAUCGCCAGCCAGGAACGCGGCCUCCGGACCCAGAGGAGCCCCGGCGCCCUGUCCUCCAUCGUCGAGGCCAUCGACGCCGUCGCCGCCCUCGGCCGGGGCACCGUCACCACCGGCGCCUCCCUCUCCGCCACGUGGCGGCUCCUCUGGACCACCGAGAAGGAGCAGCUGUACAUCAUCGAGAACGCCCGGUGGUUCGGCACGGCCGCGGGGGACGUGCUUCAGGUGAUCGAUGUGGAGCAGAAGGCCCUCAACAACGUUAUCAACUUCCCUCCGGAUGGGGUCUUCUUCGUCCGCUCCAACAUCGAGAUCGCUUCUUCGCAGAGGGUGAAUUUUAGAUUUACUAGCGCUGUGCUGCGAGGAAAGAGCUGGGAGAUUCCGCUUCCUCCAUUUGGCCAGGGUUGGUUCGAGAAUGUUUACCUUGAUGAUGAGAUUCGAGUUGCGAAGGAUAUCCGGGGUGACUAUUUAAUAGUCGAGCGUGCUCCUUAUAGCUGGAAAGAGUGAAGAACAAUGGUGCUUCUAUUCAUUGCCUUGUGGAGUCCCAUGAAUCCACUUAUGGACUAGGAGGAGUCCCUCUCACUAAGUGGAGGGCAAUAUCGAGUUGAAUAAAUCAAGACAUGGUAUAUCUUCAUCACCCUGCACAAAAAGGUUUACUGCAUUGUAUCGAAGGGAAAGGGCCUGAGGAUUUCUGUCUCAGAAGCGAAAUAAUGUUGACGGUGCUGAUUUUUGUUGUUGUGAAAUAGUAGUGUAGUCAUCUGAAGAUGUCAAAAUGCGUGGUUCGAAUUCUGGUUAUCUGAGAGGUAGAGUAUGUUUUCAUUGCUGAUUUCUUGUGCACAAGCAGAUCAUAGUUCAGUUGAAAGACUAGCUAUCUCGAAAUGUUCAUUUUCUUCUCUUGAGAGAGAGCCCUUGCAAGGGGUUCAUGUAGCUGAUAUUAUGUUUUGAAUUUAUACCCUUCUUGUUUUCAAGGGGAUGAAGACUUUGGGAUGAUGAUGGAAAUUCUUGUCAAUGUCCAUUAUGUUUAUGUUGUAAUUGGAUUUUUCCAUCUUAAAAAUUUCAUCCGAUUCACCUCAAUUGAAUAUUCAAUUGUUCACAUGUGCGCACGUGCAUAUGUGUGUGCCGCCUUGCACAUCUCUCUUUCUCUGUGGGGCUUAAGUAGAUUGUUCAAUAAUGAAAGCAAUGAUACGAUGUUCAUUGUUUGCUCUAUCGUUUUGAUAAUGGCCCAUGUUGACCCACGCGGAGAAAUAUCCACUUGGUUCGGUUACAUGUCGACGCACUCAUCGCGACAUGUGAUAGGGGUCCAUAUAUCUUGCUGGGGGAUGGCAAUAGGUUUCCGAAAGGAGCAACAGUAAUGCAUGAUUGACGGCUCACCAUCAUUUUGAAUCCCAGAGAGUUUGUCUGAACAGAGCAUGUUGAGGUGUUUUCGGAGAAGUUUCACAAUUGGCGAUCGGCAGCGCACGGACACGGAGCAUGUCGUGUUGAUGGAGAAAGAACCACGAUGGAUGGUAGGGUAUUGCAGUGGCGGCUUCUCUAGGCUCGUGAGGUACAAGGUCGAGAAGAAGAUGGACGAACCGGUCAAGGAUGGAGGCUCUACUUCUGGUUGGAAAAAUGUGGACGAGUCUCGUGAGAUGUCCACAUCAUGCCGUGGAGUGAUUCUGAUGUUUUAUAACCUACGAAAGACAGCCAUGAAAUGUCUCCAUCCGUAUUGUCCAUUGCUGUCCUGGAAGUUCGUGUUC